rnacentral:rRNA from 1 species
GACGAACGCUGGCGGCGUGCUUAACACAUGCAAGUCGAACGAUGAAGCUAGAGCUUGCUCUGGUGGAUUAGUGGCGAACGGGUGAGUAACACGUGAGUAACCUGCCCCGAACUCUGGGAUAACUGCUGGAAACGGUAGCUAAUACCGGAUAUGACCAAUGAAGGCAUCUUCUGUUGGUGGAAAGAAUUUCGGUUCGGGAUGGACUCGCGGCCUAUCAGCUUGUUGGUGAGGUAACGGCUCACCAAGGCGACGACGGGUAGCCGGCCUGAGAGGGUGAUCGGCCACACUGGGACUGAGACACGGCCCAGACUCCUACGGGAGGCAGCAGUGGGGAAUAUUGCACAAUGGGCGCAAGCCUGAUGCAGCAACGCCGCGUGAGGGACGACGGCCUUCGGGUUGUAAACCUCUUUUAGUAGGGAAGAAGCGAAAGUGGCGGUACCUGCAGAAAAAGCACCGGCUAACUACGUGCCAGCCGCCGCAGUAA